GAUGAACGCUGGCGGCGUGCCUAAUACAUGCAAGUCGAGCGAACGGACGAGAAGCUUGCUUCUCUGAUGUUAGCGGCGGACGGGUGAGUAACACGUGGAUAACCUACCUAUAAGACUGGGAUAACUUCGGGAAACCGGAGCUAAUACCGGAUAAUAUUUUGAACCGCAUGGUUCAAAAGUGAAAGACGGUCUUGCUGUCACUUAUAGAUGGAUCCGCGCUGCAUUAGCUAGUUGGUAAGGUAACGGCUUACCAAGGCAACGAUGCAUAGCCGACCUGAGAGGGUGAUCGGCCACACUGGAACUGAGACACGGUCCAGACUCCUACGGGAGGCAGCAGUAGGGAAUCUUCCGCAAUGGGCGAAAUCCUGACGGAGCAACGCCGCGUGAGUGAUGAAGGUCUUCGGAUCGUAAAACUCUGUUAUUAGGGAAGAACAUAUGUGUAAGUAACUGUGCACAUCUUGACGGUACCUAAUCAGAAAGCCACGGCUAACUACGUG
rnacentral:rRNA from 1 species